rnacentral:rRNA from 1 species
CCUGGCUCAGGAUGAACGCUAGCUACAGGCUUAACACAUGCAAGUCGAGGGGAAACGAUAGAGAAAGCUUGCUUUUUCUAGGCGUCGACCGGCGCACGGGUGAGUAACGCGUAUCCAACCUGCCCAUCACUUGGGGAUAACCUUGCGAAAGUAAGACUAAUACCCAAUGACGUCUCUAGAAGACAUCUGAAGGAGAUUAAAGAUUUAUCGGUGAUGGAUGGGGAUGCGUCUGAUUAGCUUGUUGGCGGGGUAACGGCCCACCAAGGCGACGAUCAGUAGGGGUUCUGAGAGGAAGGUCCCCCACAUUGGAACUGAGACACGGUCCAAACUCCUACGGGAGGCAGCAGUGAGGAAUAUUGGUCAAUGGACGAGAGUCUGAACCAGCCAAGUAGCGUGCAGGAUGACGGCCCUAUGGGUUGUAAACUGCUUUUAUAAGGGAAUAAAGUGAGUCUCGUGAGACUUUUUGCAUGUACCUUAUGAAUAAGGACCGGCUAAUUCCGUG